rfam:Slackia piriformis YIT 12062 genomic scaffold supercont1.1, whole genome shotgun sequence.
GAGCGCGGCCACGGAGGCGGGGAUCGCCCGAUCCCAUCCCGAACUCGGCAGCUAAGCCCGCCAUCGCCCAAAGUACUGCGGAGCAAGUCCGCGGGAGGACGGGACGCCGCGCUCG